GGGGGCUAGCGUUGCUCGGAAUCACUGGGCGUAAAGGGUGCGUAGGCGGGUCCUUAAGUCAGGGGUGAAAUCCUGGAGCUCAACUCCAGAACUGCCUUUGAUACUGAGGAUCUUGAGUUCGGGAGAGGUGAGUGGAACUGCGAGUGUAGAGGUGAAAUUCGUAGAUAUUCGGAAGAACACCAGUGGCGAAGGCGACAUACUGGUCCAUUACUGACGCUGAGGCUCGAAAGCGUGGGGAGCAAACAGG
rnacentral:rRNA from 1 species